GGGGCAACCCCAACCCUCGAUCCCAUCCCGCGGCGCGUGCGUCUUGACGUGCGUGGUGCGGCUAACGAAACCCCGGCGCGGCAUGCGCCAAGGAAAACUCAUAGAAGCACCCGCCUCCUGUCGCCCCGUUCGCGGUGCGCGGCGGGGGGAGUGGGUGUCUCUCCAAUGUCAUAACGACUCUCGGCAACGGAUAUCUCGGCUCUCGCAUCGAUGAAGAACGUAGCGAAAUGCGAUACUUGGUGUGAAUUGCAGAAUCCCGUGAACCAUCGAGUCUUUGAACGCAAGUUGCGCCCGAAGCCUUUCGGCCGAGGGCACGCCUGCCUGGGCGUCACGCAUCGCGUCGCCCCCCUCCCCAUCCGCUCGGAAACGGGCGAUCGGGUGCCGGGGGUGGAAAUUGGCCCCCCGUGCGCAGCGCCGCGCGGCCGGCCUAAAUGCGAACCCGUGGCGACUCACGUCACGACCAGUGGUGGUUGAACACUCAACUCUCGUGCUGUCGUGCCGGGCUGAGUCGCACGUCGGACAACGUGGUAGACCCAACGGAGCAAUUUUAUUGCGCC
rnacentral:rRNA from 1 species